AGUGAACGCUGGCGGUAGGCCUAACACGUGCAAGUCGAACGGCAGCACAGUAAGAGCUUGCUCUUACGGGUGGCGAGUGGCGGACGGGUGAGGAAUACAUCGGAAUCUACUUUUUCGUGGGGGAUAACGUAGGGAAACUUACGCUAAUACCGCAUACGACCUACGGGUGAAAGCAGGGGAUCUUCGGACCUUGCGCGAUUGAAUGAGCCGAUGUCGGAUUAGCUAGUUGGCGGGGUAAAGGCCCACCAAGGCGACGAUCCGUAGCUGGUCUGAGAGGAUGAUAAGCCACACUGGAACGGAGACACGGUCAAGACUCCUACGGGAGGCAGCAGUGGGGAAUAUUGGACAAUGGGCGCAAGCAUGAUCCAGCCAUACCGCGUGGGUGAAGAAGGCCUUCGGGUUGUAAAGACCUUUUGUUGGGAAAGAAAAGCAGCAGGUUAAUACCCCGCUGUUCUGACGGUACCCAAAGAAUAAGCACCGGCUAACUUCGUG
rnacentral:rRNA from 1 species